AGUGGUGGGGAUACCGUGCCACUUGGGGGAAAUAUAAGUCGGCCGCCUUUGACAGUGGGACCGGUCAUGCCACGAAUUUCUAACACUCACAUCUCAAUCCUCGCGAUACGCAUGCUCCGCAAGUAAAAGAGAAGAGAAUGAAACGGAGUGGUGGGGAUACUGUGCCACUUGGGGGAAAUAUAAGGCGACCGCCCUUGGCAAUGGGUCCAGUCAUGCCACCAAUUUCCACCACUCGAAUCUCAAUCCUCGCAGUACGCAUGCUCCGCAAAAUAAAACGGAGUGGUGGGGAUACUGUGCCAUUUGGGGGGAAUAUAAGGCGACCCCCCUUGGCAGUGGGUCCAGUCAUCCCGCGAAUUUCCACCAUUCAAAUCUCAAUC